CCUCACGGGGGGCGGCCCCGGCCGCGUUCCCCGGGAGCGGCGGCAGCGAGCGGCGGGCGGCCCUCGCUCGGCGCUGAGGUCGCGGCGAGCACCGGGGCGGCCUCGGCCCGAGCAGAGAAGGGAAGGGAAGGAAAGAGUCACUCCCGGCCUCCUGGAGGCUGUUAUGGGGUCAAACGCUUUUCGAGCCAUCAGUGUGAGCGCCAGGGUCGUGUGGCCGCCGUUCUUGGGGGCCUGAACCCGGAAAGGGUGAGAUGGGAAUAUCCCCCGGGCUUUCCAGGAUGGAUUCGCAGAAGAGGCAAAAUCGCUUGCUGAGCAGCCACGGAGACCUGGGGAAGGUGAAGGCUCGGGGCAGCAGCUUUACAGAGGAGCACCUCCACAGCUAACCAGCAAUUCUAUCAUAUCAUAGGCCAGUGUAAUAAAGUACAACAGAAUCGACCUUAGCCCAGCCCUCAGAGGUGAUAACCAGCACAAAGGCAACUUGGACACCAAGGGCAUCAUCACCUGACACAAACCUGGGAACAAGCACAACAGCUCUGAGAACAAACAACACUGUGGCCACUGACUAUUAAAUUAAUAUAAUGAAUGCUUGUAACAAAUCUGUUUUACACAAAGUCUGGUCAGAUCUGUUGUCAUCUCCACCCUUUGUGCCUCACAUCAGGCACCAAAAACGUCACAGUUUAACUCCAUCCAGCAAUUAGAUACCAUGCAACUGCUCAUCCACCACCCUCACUUCCUGCUGGGAUGGGGAGGAGGAUAGGAAAAAAGGAGCAAAACCCAUGGGUUGAAGUAAGAACAAUUUAAUAAUUGAAAUCAAAUAUAAUAAAUAAUAAUAAAACUGUGAGAAAUGAAACCCAGUGGAGACAGGUGAUGCACACUACAGUUUCUCAGCACACCCUGACUGAUGCCCAGAAUGUCCCCAAGCAGCGAUCAGUGGCUCCUGGCCAGCCUCCCCCAUGUCUGUGCUUGCCACAGUGUUCUGUGGUGUGGUUUGUCCCUUAGGCCAGUUGGGGUCUGCUGGCCCAGCUCUGCUCUCUCCCAGCUCCUUGUACACCUGUCUGCUAGCAGAGUAUGGGAAACUGGAAAACCUUUAACUUAGAGCAAGCAGUACU